rnacentral:rRNA from 1 species
CCUACGGGGGGCAGCAGUGAGGAAUAUUGGUCAAUGGGCGAGAGCCUGAACCAGCCAAGUCGCGUGAAGGAUGACGGCCCUACGGGUUGUAAACUUCUUUUGUCAGGGAGCAAUUUGGUCCACGCGUGGGCUUAGCGAGAGUACCUGCAGAAAAUGCAUCGGCUAACUCCGUGCUAGCAGCCGCGGUAAUACGGGGGAUGCUAGCGUUAUCCGGAUUUAUUGGGUUUAAAGGGUGCGUAGGCGGAAUAUCAAGUCAGCGGUAAAAAUUCGGGGCUCAACCCCGUCGUGCAGUUGAAACUGAUGUUCUUGAGUGGGCGAGAGGGAUGCGGAAUGCGUGGUGUAGCGGUGAAAUGCGUAGAUAUCGCGCAGAACUCCGAUUGCGAAGGCAGGAUACCGGCGCCCAACUGACGCUGAAGCACGAAGGCGUGGGUAUCGAACAGGAUUAGAUACCCCUGUAGUC